CAAGGGUCUCCAAAAACACCUCAAGCCGAACUGGAUGUGGAGCCUAAGAAACAGAACAAGAGAAUGAGAAUCAAUUUCAGAAUCAACAGCACAGCCCGUAGAAUACCUGCCGUAUGGGCCGAGAGGUGAUGUUCCCACUAGGGAAGCUGGGAUCUUCCACUUGGACAGCCUGUAUCACUGGCCUCAGCAGCAGAAUGUAUAUCAUGUAGGAGGGAAGUGUCCCCUUCAUCAACGGCAGCAGGGUCCAGUCUGGAAGGACACGCAGAUGGUCUGGGAGAUGGCUGGGAUCAGGAGCCUUGCCAUCAUUGAAGAACCUCUCCAGGCAACCGAGUUGAGGCUUGUACUCUUCUAUGCCCAGAGAGAGGGCCAGGAGGGCAGCAUCCAUGUUGUCUCUGUUGAUCCCAUGACCGAUGAGGCUGGGCACAGAGUCCAAGGCUUCCCGCUGUCCCUGGAAACGGGCCAGCCAAUCCAGCAACCUGUUGAAGAAGACAACCCCUUCCCAAGCACAAAACACACACACACACACACACACACACACACACACACACACACACACACACACACACACACACACACAUAUAUAUAUAUAUAUAUGUUUAUACAUAUAUGUUUAUUUUUAUAUUGUUUUUGUGACGCGGUUGCCUCAGUAAAGUGCUUUGUCCUCUCUUCUCGGCUCUCCUGCGCCUGACUUCCAUGCACCAGCUACACCCAGCAUCUGACAAGUUUACCAAUAAAAUGGUCUGACAGUGAAGUGGACAUACACAGUAUUCAUAUCCCGAAGAAAAAAUGAUCUCACUACAAUACAUUUUAACAGAAAGUACAUUUUCAAUAUCUGUCUAUUUGUGGAAAUAAGUCAUAUCCCAGUUUACAUAUUUACUUCUGGCCCCGCCUACACCUAACCAUUUUUUUUGUAAAUUAUAUGAGGUAAAAAAUAUUCCACUUUAUUUGGAAUGGCAAGCUAGACAAAAUUAAAUGGGCCUAUUUAAAUAAUGACUAUGAACUCGGAGGGCAGAAAUGGCUACAGACGUUAGUGCUACGGGUCGGUAGUCGUUUAGGCAGGUUACCUUAGUGUUCUUGGGCACAGGGACUAUGGUGGUCUGCUUAAAACAUGUUGGUAUUACAGACUCGGACAGGGAGUGGUUGUCACUGAAGACACUUGCCAGUUGGUCAGCGCAUGCUCGCAGUACAUGUCCUGGUAAUCCGUCUGGCCCUGCGGCCUUGUGAAUGUUGCCUGUUUAAAGGUCUUACUCACAUUGGCUGCGGAGAGCGUGAUCACACAGUCUUCCAAAACAGCUGGUUCUCUCAUGCAUAUUUCAGUGUUAUUGCCUCGAAGCAAGCAUAGAAGUAGUUUAGCUCGUAAUUAGCCACAUACAGGUUAACUAAAUUGAACAAGGCAUCCCCUAAGCCAGUUACAGGCCAUUCACAAAGCAGUUGUGGCAAUUUUAAAGAUAUUGAUAACUGUGCACCAGUGGCAUUUUGCACUAAUGUGAUAAAUAAAAAAUUAAUUGUAAUGUGUAAUUAAAAGUACAACAUUAUUCAGUUGGAAAAUGAACAUUAAAACAAUUGAAUAAGCUAAAUAUGCACCUUAGAGACUGUUGACCUAUGUAUAUUACCAUUGAACACUGGUCACUUUUUAUUACUGUUUUCUUAAUUUUAUUUGUAUUUUAGGGUGGUCACUUUUUAUUCCUGUUUUCUUAAUUUGAUUUGUAUUUUAGUGGGUAGAUCAGCUUUAAUAUAGUAUGUAGAUAGAUUGUAGCUUCCAUCAAUGUAAUUGUCUGCAUAAUUUUCAAUCCCCCAUAUACCAUAUACAGUUGAAGUCGGAAGUUUAAAUACACUUAGGUUGGAGUCAUUAAAACUCUAUUUUCAACCACUCCACAAAUUUCUUGUUAAUUAACAAACUAUGGUUUUGGCAAGUCGAUUAGUACAUUCUACUUUGUGCAUGACACAAGUAAUUUUUACAACAAUUGUUUACAUUAUUUAACUUAUAAUUCACUGUAUCACAAUCCCAGUGGGUCAGAAGUUUACAUACACUAAAUUGACUGUGCCUUUAAACAGCUUGGAAAAUUCCAGAAAAUGAUGUCAUGGCUUUAGAAGCUUCUGUUAGGCUAAGUGACAUCAUUUGAGUCAAUUGGAGGUGUACCUGUGGAUGUAUUUCAAGGCCUACCUUCAAACUCAUUGCCUCUUUGCUUGACAUCAUGGGAAAAUCAAAAGAAAUCAGCCAAGACCUCCACAAGUUUGUUUCAUCCUUGGGAGCAAUUUCCAAAUGCCUGAAGGUACCACGUUCAUCUGUACAAACAAUAGUAUGCAAGUAUAAACACCAUGGGACCACGCAGCCGUCAUACCGCUCAGGAAGGAAACGCGUUCUGUCUCCUAGAGAUUCAUGUACUUGGUGUAGCAAGCGUGCAAAUUCAUCCCAGAACAACAGCAAAGGACCUUAUGAAGAUGCUGGCGGAAACAGGUACAAAAGUAUCUAUAACCACAAUAAAACAAGUCCUAUAUCAACAUAACCUGAAAGGCCGCUCAGCAAGGAAGAAGCCACUGCUCCAAAACCGCAAUAAAAAGCCAGACUACGGUUUACAACUGCACAUGGGGACAAAGAUCAUACUUUUUGGAAGAAUGUCCUCUGGUCUGAUGAAACAAAAAUAGAACUGUUUGGCCAUAAUGACCAUCGUUAAGUUUGGAGGAAAAAGGGUGAGGCUUGUGUAACAGUUUUAACUUCAGACCGUCCCCUCGCCCCGACCCGGGCGCGAACCAGGGACCCACUGCACACAUCAACAACAGUCACCCACGAAGCAUCGUUACCCAUCGCUCCACAAAAGCCGCGGCCCUUGAAGAGAAAGGGGAACUACUUCAAGGUCUCAGAGCAAGUGACGUAACCGAUUGAAAGGCUAUUAGCGCGCACCACCGCUAACUAGCUAGCCAUUUCACAUCCGUUACACUUGCAAGCCGAAUAACACCAUCCCAACUGUGAAGCACGGGGGUGGCAGCAUCAUGUUGUGGGGUGCUUUGCUGUAGGAGGGACUGGUGCACCUCACAAAAUAGAUGGCAUCAUGAGGAAAGAAAAUGAUGUGGAUAUAUCUAUAUAUAUCUAUAUAUCUCAAGACAUCAGUCAGGAAGUUAAAGCUUGGUCACAAAUGUGUCUUCCAAAUUGACAAUGACCCCAAGCAUACUUCCAAAGUUGUGGCAAAAUGGCUUAAGGACAACAAAGUCAAGGUAUUGGAGUGGCCAUCACAAAGCCCUGACCUCAAUCCUAUAGAAAACUUGUGGCAAGAACUGAAAAAGCAUGUGCGAGCAAGGAGGCCUACAAAUCUGAUUCAGUUACACAAGCUCUGUCAGAAGGAAUGGGACAAAAUUCACCUAACUUAUUGUGGAAGCUUAUGGAAGGCUACCCGAAAUGUUUGACCCAAUUUUAACAAUUUAAAUGCAAUGCUACCAAAUACUAAUUGAGUGUAUGUAAACUCCUGACCCACUGGGAAUGUGAUGAAAUAAAUAAAAGCGGAAAUAAAUCAUUCUCUCUACUAUUAUUAUGACAUUUCACAUUCUUAAAACAAAGUGGUGAUCCUGACUCACCUAAGACAGGGAUUUCUUACUACGAUUAAAUGUCAGGAAUUGUGAAAAAGUGAGUUUAAAUGUAUUUGGCUAAGGUGUAUGUAAACUUCCGACUUCAACUGUGUAUAUAUUUAUAUAUACACAAUACAAAACCUUACUGAGUACCACUCUCCGUAUUUUGAAGCAUAGUGGUUGCUGCAUCAUGUUAUGGGUAUGCUUGUAAUCGUUAAGGACUAGGUUAAAACCUGUUGAGGACAGAGGGCGCUGUUUUCACUUUGGGGGAAAAUCGUGCCCAAUUUAAACGGCCUCGUACUCAAUUCUUGCUCGUACAAUAUGCAUAUUAUUAUUACUAUUGGAUAGAAAACACUCUCUAGUUUCUAAAACCGUUUGAAUUAUAUCUAUGAGUAAAACAGAACUCCUUUUGCAGCAAACUUCCUGACAGGAAGUGGAAGAUCUGAAAUCGAUGCACUGUUCUAGGGGCUGCCUAUUAAAGUCCUUGAUAUUUAUUAGUUUAGAUGCACUUCAUACGCCUUCCACUAGAUGUCGACAAGCAGUGAGAGAAGAAAUUGAGUGUGUAACUUGAUCUGGGCUCGAAUAAUAGCUCUUGGCAUGUCACCAGUUUCCUGUUUUCUGGAGAGUGCGAGAAGGGACCUGGAUUUGCCUUCUGAUAUUUCCGGCUUUGAUUUUAUUUGAUACAUGUGACAAUAUCAUCGUAAAGUAUGUUUUUUCAAUGUAGUUUAAUCAGAUUAUUGAAAUUUUUUCGGGAGUUUUGCCGUGUUCCGUUCUCUGAGUUUGUUGACGAUGGAGAGAUUCGCGCCACUUGGCAAGUGUGCUUGCUAAAUCGAGAGGGAAAAAGGCCGUUCUAAAACCAAUCAACGAUUGUUCUGGACAAAGGACCCCUUGUACAACAUUCUGAUGGAAGAUCAGCAAAAGUAGGACCCAUUUUAUGAUGUUUUUUCAUAUAUCUGUCGUACAUGUGAACUAGUCGUUUGCGCCCAGAGUUUGGGCACUCUCUCGCUAUACCUAAGCUGGAUGUCGUAAUGAAGUUAUUUUUAGAAUUCUAACACGGCGAUUGCAUUAAGAACUAGUGUAUCUAUCAUUUCCUAUACAACAUGUAUUUUUUAGUUAUGUUUAUGAAUAGUUAUUUGGUCAGAAUAUGUGUGUCAGAAAAAGUGUCAGAAAAAUAUCCGGAUGUUGUGGGAAAAAGUGGCUACGUUAGCACAAUGUAUAACCACUGAUUUCAGCUCUAAAUAUGCACAUUUUCGAACAAAACAUAAGUGUAUGUAUAACCUGAUGUUAUAGGACUGUCAUCUGAUGAAGCUUAUCAAGGUUAGUCAAAAAUGAUAUAUCUUUUGCUGGUUUAUUCGCUAUCGCUAAUGUGCCUAUUGUUAUCGCUAACGUGCCUUGAUGAAUGAAUGCGGUAGUGUGGUAGGCUAUUGUAGUAAGCUAAUAUAAUGCUAUAUUGUGUUUUCGCUGUAAAACACUUAAAAAAUCGGAAAUAUUGGCUGGAUUCACAAGAUGUUUGUCUUUAAUUUGCUGUACACCAUACAUUUUUCAGAAAUGUUUUAUGAUGAGUAUUUAGGUAUUUGACGUUGGUGUCUGUAAUUACUCUGGCUGCUUCGGUCCUAUUUGUGACGGUAGCUGUGAUGGUAGCUGCAAUGUAAAACUGAUUUAUACCUCAAAUAUGCACAUUUUUCGAACAAAACAUAGAUUUAUUGUAUAACAUGUUAUAAGACUGUCAUCUGAUGAAGUUGUUUCUUGGUUAGUUUGGUUGGUUCUUGGUUAGUUAGGUUGGCUUUGUGCAUGCUACCUGUGCUGUGAAAAAUGUCUGUCCUUUUUUGUAUUUGGUGGUGAGCUAACAUAAAUAUAUGUGGUGUUUUCGCUGUAAAACAUUUUAAAAAUCGGACAUGUUGACUGGAUUCACAAGAUGUGUAUCUUUCAUUUGCUGUAUUGGACUUGUUAAUGUGUGAAAGUUAAAUAUUUCAAAAAAAUAUCUUUUGAAUUUCGCGCUCUGCCUUUUCAGUGGAAUGUGGGAGGAGUUCCGCUAGUGGAACGCCAGAGCCAGACAGGUUAAGGGUAAAAAAAGAGAGGGAAUGGAGCUAAGCACAGGUAAAAUCCUAGAGGUAAACCUUGUUCAAUCUGCUUUCCACCAGACACUGGGAGAUUAAUUUACCUUUCAGCAGGACAAUAACCUAAAACACCAGGUCAAAUAUACACUGGAGUUGCUUACUCUGAACAUAGUGAAUGUUCCUGAGUGGCCAAGUUACAGUUUUGACUUAAGUCUGCUUGAAAAUCUAUCGCAAGACUUGAAAAUGGUAGUCUAGAAAUGAUCAACAACCAAUUUGACAGAGCUUGAAGAAUUUUGAAAAAAAUAAUGGACAAAUAUUGUACAAUCCAGGUGUGCAAAACUCUUAAAAACUUAACCAGAAAGGUGAUUCCAACAUGUAUUGACUCAGAGGUGUGAAUACUCAUGUAAAUGAGAUAUUUUUGUAUUUAAUUUUGAAUGCAUUUCACUUUGUCAUUACAGGGUUUUGUUCGUAAAUGGGUGAUAAAAAAUAUGUUUAAUACAUUUUGAAUUCAGGAUGUAACACAAUAAAAUGUGUAAUAAUUGAAGGGGCAUUCAUGCUUUCUGAAGACACUGUACGCGACCAAUAAACUCUGAUUUGAUGAUGAAGAAAAUAAUAUUUUAAAUAAAAACUUCACCUGCAGAAAUGAA